rnacentral:rRNA from 1 species
CUACGGUGAAUACGUUCCCCGGACCUUGUACACACCGCCCGUCAAGCCAUGGAAGCUGGGUGUACCUAAAGUCGAUAACCGUAAGGAGUCGCCUAGGGUAAAACUAGUAACUGGGGCUAAGUCGUAACAAGGUACCC